rnacentral:rRNA from 1 species
CCUACGGGCGGCAGCAGUGAGGAAUAUUGGUCAAUGGACGAGAGUCUGAACCAGCCAAGUAGCGUGAAGGAUGACUGCCCUAUGGGUUGUAAACUUCUUUUAUAUGGGAAUAAAAUGUUCCACGUGUGGGAUUUUGUAUGUACCAUAUGAAUAAGGAUCGGCUAACUCCGUGCCAGCAGCCGCGGUAAUACGGAGGAUCCGAGCGUUAGACGGAUUUAUUGGGUUUAAAGGGAGCGUAGGUGGAUUGUUAAGUCAGUUGUGAAAGUUUGCGGCUCAACCGUAAAAUUGCAGUUGAAACUGGCAGUCUUGAGUACAGUAGAGGUGGGCGGAAUUCGUGGUGUAGCGGUGAAAUGCUUAGAUAUCACGAAGAACUCCGAUUGCGAAGGCAGUUCACUGGACUGCAACUGACACUGAGGCUCGAAAGUGUGGGUAUCAAACAGGAUUAGAUACCCCGGUAGUC